ACUUUUUUGGUUGACUUUGAGCCCUCCUCCAAAGAGAUAAGAAAGGGGGGCCAAGAAAUUGGCUGAGAGAGCUAGAGAGGUACUCGCUGGGUUAGGUGCUGAAAGUCGGGACAAAUUGGCUUUUGAAGCACACAUUGGAGGGUUUCAAGUGUUCAAAUUAAAGGGUAAAGCACUAAAGCUACAAGGUUGUGGCAACGUAAUAAAGAUGGCAUCAACUAAUUUAUUACAACCUCAUUAUGAUGCCGAGCUCGAUUUCAUCGACUUCAUGGCCACUCGUCUUGUUGAUCGAGACUACACAAGGCGUAUCCUAUUGAACCAAUCCUUCCCUGAAGGGAGUCAUCAACCUGCGCCUCCCAUUCAAGAUGAGUACUGGAAAUACAUAGCAUUGCACAGAGCUGCUGUGGAAGGCGAUUGGGAGAGCGCCAAGAAAUUCUUUGAGAAAAACCAAGAUGCAGUCACUGCCAAUAUCAACUCGAACCUGGAGAAUGCACUGCACAUAGCAGUCCAAGCAGGAAAAAAGGCAAUCCAUGUCGUGAAGAAUUUGGUGGAAGAAAUGCCGAUUGAGGCCCUCGAACAUAAAAAUGUUUAUGGCCAAACUGUACUUAGCUUCGCUGCUAUUGUUGGUAACAUGCGUGCUGUGGUUAUUCUGGUGCGAAAACAUUCCCGGUUGUUGUAUAUUCGCAACAAGUAUAUGCUUCUACCUGUCCACUUGGCCGCCACAUAUGAUCACAAGGAUACUUUUCAAUACUUGUUGUCAGUCACUCAAGACCAGCAUGGUGUUGUUAGGCCCUUUGCAGACAGAUCUGGGGUUCGCCUUGUUAUACAAGUAAUAUUUUCUGGAUACUACGUAGAUGAGGCCCUAAAAUUAAUUGAUCGGUAUCCCGAACUCGCAAAAUUACAACUUCCCAAUGGUGAUAGUGUUUUAUCAGCAAUUGCUUUGAAGCUGUCGGCGUUCCCAAGUGGGAGUCAUCUAUCAUUUUGGGAAAGCGCUAUCUAUUCUUGUGUUCCACUGAAGUUGGACAAGUAUGCUAAAGAACGUAGCAGAUUUGACAUUGAGGACCCAGUACCAAAGCAUAAUUUGGCUCAAACUUUUGUUCGAAGUUUCUACAUUCCAGUGAGCCAAAGAUUACAAGCCAUGCUUCACAAAGUUUUGGCCUUCUUAGUGCCUCACAUUAAACAGAUCGGGGAGAAAAAACAAGUGCAUCAUCAAGCAACUCGGCUCGUGAAAUUGUUGUGCCAGCAAAUUGCAACUCUAAAUGACUACAAGGCUUAUGAAUCAAUUGUGAAAGGCCCACUGCUUUCCGCAGCAAAAUUAGGAGUUAAAGAGGUGGUGGAAGACAUAUUGGAUUCGUUUCCCGAUGCAGUUUGGUUUUCUGAUGAUGAAUCUCGUUUUGUAUUCGAAUUGGCAAUUUUACAUCGUCAGGAAAAAGUUUUCAACAUCAUAUAUCAGAUGGAUCUAUGCAAACAUCUCCUGUCCCACCGCUUCGACAAGGAAAAGAACAAUAUCUUGCACUUGGCGGGGAGACUGGCGCCUCCAAGCAGACUAAAUCUUAUUCCUGGUGCAGCACUUCAAAUGCAACGUGAGUUGCAAUGGUUUAAGCCAUGGAACCCCUACUAAGGCAAAGGCUUUGGUUCUUACACCAACAAGGAGUUUCACCACUGGUGGUGGCAAUUUCAGCGCAAUUACUAGGUGCUCGUGGCCCCUGUUCUCCCUCACCACAUGGUUGCUCAAUGCUCGUGGCCGCUAUUCUCUCUCGUUGCAUUGUUGCUCGGUUGCAAGUGCUUUUUGCUUCUUUUGGAAGUGAAUCUCUCAAGCUUUCACAACAAAGGUGACCCACAAGCAAGGAGAAUGGACCACACAAGCAUUGUUGAGGACACUUUAUUGGAGACCUAAGAUGGUGGACCACAUGAAGCGUGAAGCAUCAACUUGGAGGCCAAAUUCAAUCAAGCCCAUCAAUUCAAUUGAAAGCCCAAAUCGAUUGCAAUUGAAGGCCCAAGACCCAGCCACUUGUCCAGCGUGAAGCCCAAAUCGGCAGCUUCUAGAAAAGCCGAUUACGCGGUCCCUAGGCUCGUAAUAUACAUAUAUAUUCAUGGCACAGCAUAGAGAAGAGCAGUCUCCCAACAGCAUUUUCAGGCAGUACUAAGGGAGCACAGUGCGUAGAAAGGAGGAGGAAUUCUCAGACAGCAAGGGGGGCGCUGUUCUUCUUUUAAUUUUUAUCAUUCGGUAUGUUCUUUAAUUUCUUGUUUUCUUCUGUGUUAUUUCAAUUUUAGAUCUUUAAUUUUUGUUUUCCUAUUCAAUGUUCUUUCGUUUCAAUGAUUGAGAGAGGAAUGAGAGAAAAAUGAGAAAAAAAAAAAAAGAGGGUCGUGUGUCUCUCAUAAAAGACUCUUUUGCCCUUCACUUGCACACAAUCACAAUUAUUAUCAUGUCCCUUUUGGACAUUUGUCAUUUCUCAUUUUUUUUCCAUUUUCUUUAUCAACCCAUUUAUAUAAUUUCUCAUUUACCCUUAUCUUUCUCACACUCUACAUGAGGCCUCAAACCAUUUCUUGACAUUUCACAAUUAAAUUAUAUUUUUCUUUAAUUUAUCUCACCACAUAGCAAAUGAACUCAAGCCCAACCCAUUAAUUUGACUCUUACUAAUUAGGUCCAACUCUCAUUAGCCCAACGAGUUUAUUUUUUAACUUGGCCCAACCCAAUUAAUUUGAAUUUAACUAAAUUCACAACCCACAUAAUUUAGGUCCAAUCCAUUAAAAAUGGGUUUUAUUAAAUUUUUAGCUAUUACAAGUCUUUGAGCUUUUCACAUUAGCGCAACCCAUACAUUAAACUCAACCCAUUUUAUUAAAUUUUUAACCUCUAGAUUUCUUUAUAAUCCAAGAUAUAUAAAUAUAUAUAUAUUUAUCAAAAUAAAAUAAAAUCAUUAAUCAUAAUAUAGACCCAAUAAGGGAUGGUUACAACUACACAUACAAAAUAUAAUAUAAGACAAUUAAUUAUAUACACUUUGAAUGCACAAGAUUGGUUUGGGUAGCCAGGGAUCAACUUAUUGAUGCAUAUAGUCAGAGCGUAGACCAGCCACCACAAUAUGGGGUAUUGCCUCUGAUUUGUUGCCUAGCAUAUUUAAUUUAAUGAAUAGUAGAGCAACUGUUGUAUUUUCUUUAACCUUAAUUCAUUGUAUUUUCAUUUACUAGCAUCUUUAACCAUUGUAUUUUUCAAUUAUGCAAAGUAAACUUCAACCUAGAAGAUCUACUACAGUGCCUUCAGCUAGAGUAGCUCUUGACCCCUUGAUGGAGGCAUCCCAAUUUCAAUUCAUGCCAACUCUAGGCAUAGGGCCAUCAAUUCCAUCUCGCAUGAACAACGAUGGACACAUCCUACAUACACUCUAUUAAGCAAAUAUCGUUAAAGAUCAAGGUCAAAGUUUUUUUAUAGACACUAUAGUAGAAGACCUACAAUAAAUGGAACACGUGGAGCAAGCAAAGAGAAAGGCUAUGACAGCAAGGAUAAAAGAAUUGCAAGGAGCUCAUUGUCCUUUGUUGCUCAUAGGAGCAGGAAACCAGCAUCCACGUCUUAGCCUAAUAAUUUAUUACUUUUUUUUGCUAUUGUUGCACCCAAUGAUGUGUUAUAUAAAAUUGGCAUAGAUGUAAUGAGUGAACUUGGUGACCAUCGUUUAGUAUUGAGUUUUUGUUUUCUUAAGAUGGUCAUAGAGUCACAUUGUUUGGAUAGGUAGGUGUUUUGUUUUAGGUGAUGAUGGAUU